GAGAGUAAAAUAAUGUGGUCUAAGAAACUUCAAAGGCUUUGGAACGGCCGUCAUAGAGGAGGUAGAAGUACGAAUUAUUUCUUUAAGCUGAGUGAGACUGGAACCCACCAACUCAGGGGUGGCAUCUUGAACAGCUUGAACUAAUAAUUCCAAAUCAUUUUUUAAUUGUAAAUCUUCUUCAGACUAUUUGGUUAGUUUUCAUUUUGAAAAAUAAUAGGGCUUUAACUUACUAAAUCCUCUAAUUCAUCCCUUUCUUUGGUAUUGUUCGUUGAGUUUCUGUCAUUAGUUUCUGAAGUCUUUGUCCCUUUUUUGUCAUUUAAUGCAUCAUUACCACUCGGGGACUUCGAACUAAUGUCUUUAGAACUCAUUUUCUAGAUUCCUAAGAUUUUCUGAAACUGAGUAGUAAUGUGUUGUCGUUGAAACUACUCUCACCCUAGUCAGAACCAGUAUACCGAUUGUUUACGUAUUUGAUUAUUUAUCACGUUAAUUAGAUUUAACAACACGCUAUGCUUUCUUUAUGGAUCAGUACAAAUGAAAAAAUAAUCUAUUAUUUAAGUUCGUCAAUGUAUUACCAUUAUUACACGAUGCUUGACAUUAUUAUCUCAUGCCUCUUUUCUUAUAAGAAUUGUUGUAAAAUAACUCGUUAUUGAUUGACUCUUUAUGUUUUCAUUUGUUUAAAUACGGACAUAUGAAACCGAUUUAUAUCACUACACCUAAUUACCAUAGUUAUAGCUUGAUUUUUAAUAACAUGACACGCUCUAAGAUUUUGA